UACGUAGGGGGCAAGCGUUAUCCGGAUUUACUGGGUGUAAAGGGAGCGUAGACGGUUAUGCAAGUCAGAAGUGAAAGCCCAAAGCUCAAUUUCGGGACUGCUUUUGAAACUGUGUAACUAGAGUGCAGGAGGGGUAAGCGGAAUUCCUAGUGUAGCGGUGAAAUGCGUAGAUAUUAGGAGGAACACCGGCGGCGAAGGCGGCUUACUGGACUGUAACUGACGUUGAGGCUCGAAAGCGUGGGGAGCAAACAGG
rnacentral:rRNA from 1 species